rnacentral:tRNA from 1 species
GAGAGUUUGGCCGAAUGGUCUAAGGCGCUGGCUUAAAGCGCCAGUCCGAAAGGGCGUGGGUUCGAACCCCACAGCUGUCA